GACGAACGCUGGCGGCGUGCUUAACACAUGCAAGUCGAACGGAAAGGCCCUGCUUUUGUGGGGUGCUCGAGUGGCGAACGGGUGAGUAACACGUGAGUAACCUGCCCUUGACUUUGGGAUAACUUCAGGAAACUGGGGCUAAUACCGGAUAGGAGCUCCUGCUGCAUGGUGGGGGUUGGAAAGUUUCGGCGGUUGGGGAUGGACUCGCGGCUUAUCAGCUUGUUGGUGGGGUAGUGGCUUACCAAGGCUUUGACGGGUAGCCGGCCUGAGAGGGUGACCGGCCACAUUGGGACUGAGAUACGGCCCAGACUCCUACGGGAGGCAGCAGUGGGGAAUAUUGCACAAUGGGCGGAAGCCUGAUGCAGCAACGCCGCGUGCGGGAUGACGGCCUUCGGGUUGUAAACCGCCUUCGCCUGUGACGAAGCGUGAGUGACGGUAAUGAGUAAAGAAGCACCGGCUAACUACGUG
rnacentral:rRNA from 1 species